CAGUGAAUGCAAGUGGUGAUCACCCUCUGGGCCAAUAACCCUCCAAGUCCAAGCUCUCUGAUGUCUUUCACAUGGUAAAAUUCCCAUUAGAAACAAUCUGCUGUGUGGUGCUCAUUUGGAAUGAAAAUCUUUUGAAGGAUAAGUAACACAAUGGAAGGACAGCAACCAAACCCUUUCCCUUUUUUUUAGUGCUUUUUCAUAUUCUGAUGUUUCACUAGUCCUGGCAUUUGAAUUUAAAGCUCAGACAGAAACUCUAUUAAGCUAUGGAACUGCCAAAUGGUCCUGUUAAGAGAUAUCACCUGCAACUGCAGCAUUCCAGUACAAGCUCCCAGCUAGCUGGGGCAAAAUUAUCAC